rnacentral:rRNA from 1 species
GUCGAGCGAAGCACUUUGUUUUGAAUCUUCGGAGGAAGAACGAAGUCGACUGAGCGGCGGACGGGUGAGUAACGCGUGGGCAACCUGCCUCAUACAGGGGGAUAACAGUUAGAAAUGACUGCUAAUACCGCAUAAGACCACGGUACUGCAUGGUACAGUGGUAAAAACUCCGGUGGUAUGAGAUGGGCCCGCGUCUGAUUAGCUGGUUGGUGAGGUAACGGCUCACCAAGGCAACGAUCAGUAGCCGACCUGAGAGGGUGAACGGCCACAUUGGGACUGAGACACGGCCCAAACUCCUACGGGAGGCAGCAGUGGGGAAUAUUGGACAAUGGGGGGAACCCUGAUCCAGCGACGCCGCGUGAGUGAAGAAGUAUUUCGGUAUGUAAAGCUCUAUCAGCAGGGAAGAAAGAAAUGACGGUACCUGACUAAGAAGCCCCGGCUAACUACGUGCCAGCAGCCGCGGUAAUACGUAGGGGGCAAGCGUUAUCCGGAUUUACUGGGUGUAAAGGGAGCGUAGACGGCAGUGCAAGUCUGAAGUGAAAGGCGGGGGCCCAACCCCAGGACUGCAUUGGAAACUGUUAGGCUGGAGUGUCGGAGAGGUAAGCGGAAUUCCUAGUGUAGCGGUGAAAUGC